GUUUGAUUAUGGCUCAGAUUGAACGCUGGCGGGAUGCUUUACACAUGCAAGUCGAACGGCAGCACGGACUUCGGUCUGGUGGCGAGUGGCGAACGGGUGAGUAAUGUAUCGGAACGUGCCUAGUAGCGGGGGAUAACUACGCGAAAGCGUAGCUAAUACCGUACAUGGCCCUUCGGGGGAAAGCGGGGACCUUUCGCCUCGCACUAUUAGAGCGGCCGAUAUCGGAUUAGCUAGUUAGUAACGGCUCACCAAGGCGACGAUCCGUAGCUGGUUUGAGAGGACGACCAGCCACAAUGGGACUGGUGACACGGCCCAGACUCCUACGGGAGGCAGCAGUGGGGAAUUUGGACAAUGGGGGAACCUCCUGAUCCAGCCAUCCCGCGUGUGCGAUGAAGGCCUUCGGGUUGUAAAAGCACUUUUGGCAGGAAAGAAACGGCACGGGAUAAUACCCUCGUGCAACUGACGGUACCUGCAGAAUAAGCACCGGCUAACUACGUGCCAGCAGCCGCGGUAAUACGUAGGGUGCAAGCGUUAACGGAAUUACUGGGCGUAAAGCGUGCGCAGGCGGUUCGGAAAGAAAGAUGUGAAACUCAGAGCUUAACUUUUGGAACUGCAUUUUUAACUACCGAGCUAGAGUGUGUCAGAGGGAGGUGGGAUUCGCGUGUAGCAGUGAAAUGCGUAGAUAUGCGGAGGAACACCGAUGGCGAAGGCAGCCUCCUGGGAUAACACUGACGCUCUGCUAUGCACGAAAGCGGGAGCAAACAGGAUUAGAUACCCUGGUAGUCCACGCCCUAAACGAUGUCAACUAGCUGUUGGGGCCUUCGGGCCUUGGUAGCGCAGCUAACGCGUGAAGUUGACCGCCUGGGGAGUACGGUCGCAAGAUUAAAACUCAAAGGAAUUGACGGGGACCCGCACAAGCGGUGGAUGAUGUGGAUUAAUUCGAUGCAACGCGAAAACCUUACCUACCCUUGACAUGUCUGGAAUCCCGAAGAGAUUUGGGAGUGCUCGCAAGAGAACCGGAACACAGGUGCUGCAUGGCUGUCGUCAGCUCGUGUCGUGAGAUGUUGGGUUAAGUCCCGCAACGAGCGCAACCCUUGUCAUUAGUUGGCACGAAAGGGCACUCCACGAGACUGCCGGUGACAAACCGGAGGAAGGUGGGGAUGACGUCAAGUCCUCAUGGCCCUGCGGUAGGGCUUCGCACGUCAUACAAUGGUCGGGACAGAGGGUCGCCAACCCGCGAGGGGGAGCCAAUCCCAGAAACCCGAUCGUAGUCCGGAUCGCAGUCUGCAACUCGACUGCGUGAAGUCGGAAUCGCUGGGCAAUCGCGGAUCAGCAUGUCGCGGUGAAUACGUUCCCGGCCUUGUACACACCGCCCGUCACACCAUGGGAGUGGGUUUUACCAGAAGUAGUUAGCCUAACCGUAAGGAGGCGAUUACUGGUAGGAUUCAUGACUGGGGUGAAGUCGUAACAAAGGUAG
rnacentral:rRNA from 1 species